GGAGAGGUGGGUGAGUGGCUGAAACCAGCGGUUUGCUAAACCGCCGUACGGGUAAAACUGUACCCCGGGUUCGAAUCCCGGCCUCUCCGCCA
rnacentral:tRNA from 6 species